UACGUAGGGACCAAGCGUUGUUCGGAUUUACUGGGCGUAAAGCGUGCGCAGGCGGUUUUGCAAGCCGGAUGUGAAAGCCCCGGGCUCAACCUGGGAAUUGCAUUCGAGACUGCAUGGCUUGGGUGCGGAAGAGGGAAGCGGAAUUUCCGGUGUAGCGGUGAAAUGCGUAGAUAUCGGAAGGAACACCCGUGGCGAAGGCGGCUCUCUGGGACGGUACUGACGCUGAGACGCGAAAGCGUGGGGAGCGAACAGG
rnacentral:rRNA from 1 species